rnacentral:lncRNA from 1 species
GUCCGAAUCAUGAGGCACUACAAACUAGAUGUGUUAAUUGUGUUCCUGCCAACAGGCUUCAUAUCUCAGAUAAAUUAUCCUUGACCCAAUCUUGGUGACAGCCUGAUCACUCCCCAUGUCCUGCCUGCUGCCUGGAAGCCUGGUUCACAGAAAAAUGUCCAUCCACAUUACCUGGGGUAAGAGCGCCUUCACCUGAAAGGCCUACUGCAACUUAAGGUUGCUUCAGACUGUAUUGUUGUUAUGGAAAAUUUACUUUGGGCUCAGAGAAGACACUACUGAAGUGGAGAUUUUGGUCACUAUGUGUGGGUGUGGCUGAUGAAACCAAUGAGAAGCAAACAAAGCCUUUCAAGUUGGUUGCCUAUAAAGACAGACCCCUGAGGACCUGUUGAAUGUAUUGCCCAUGAUAUUGCUCCUCAGGUACCUGGGCUCUUAGGAAGGGGGAGUGAAGCUUUUAAGGAAAUCUUCGAUCUUAGAUAAGGCCCGACAAAAGAAGCCUCCCUGCCCUGGUGGUCCCUGGGGGUGUGGCAAACCAGCAGCAGUGAUGAGACAGCUUCCUGUGCAGUGUCAGCUGGACAAUCAAACAGUGAGUAGCUGUUCUGUUCUCAGCUCCCAGUUCAGUUGGGCUGAGCAGCAGCAAGUCUCUGUCCGGAGUCAUCGGUCCAGAUUUUUUUCUCUUGAGGGAAUUGGUGCCAUGGGUGGCUGAGACCUCUGAUGCUCACUGAACAUUCCUGGAUUACCACUUCCACUGAUCCCCUCCAGCCACAAGCUCGGAUCCCUGCACCAAAUUGCCCCCAGAAUGUCUCAUCCAAGCAGGUAUUUGUCUACUUUCUCUCCCUUUUCCAGACUGACCUACAGUAACUGCCACCCCGAAAGACACCGCAUGUUUGUGUUUCUCAAAGAAUUUUUAAUUAUUCUGUCGGAAAAGUUUCGUACCAAUGCAGAAAUAGAAGCUUCAUAUUAUGAGAUUCUUUAUUUCUAAUGUUUACAGGAACUCCAGGUAGCCUGUUCAGAAAAAUCUUCUGUCUUUCAAUCCUUAAUUUAGAGUCCGUUCACUCAUCACCCAAUGAGAGCAGAUUAUGGGAAACGUUGACCCUAAGGAAGGCAUUGACUGCUUCAGAGAUGAGUGUACAACAAGUCUUCUACAUAGAAUUGAAAAAAAAAUAACUUGUCACAACCCUAUCCCCAAAGACCAAAGAACAACAAGAACAAAGAUUCAGGAAAGAUGGAACUGAGCUACGUUGAGUUGAAACUGCAUAGUUCUCAACAGGAGAGCAAACAAGAGAGACUCAAAGACAAAGGUAUGGCAUGUUAAAUGCAGCUGACUCGGCAGAGUGACACGUUUUCCUGGCCUUAGUACCAGCAGAGGUUGGAAUGGGUUUCGUGGAGACACGGUUCAAGGCCUCAGAUGGCUGAUUCUCGCAAUGCUUGACUCCUCCCUUAACAUUCCUCGGACUCGGGCAUUCCUGUGGCGCUCCAUUUCCCCGGGAACAUCUCAUUAUCUUAAUAAUUCCCAGGCAGGUGCUUCCAGACUCCAGACUCAGUGGCUCUUUGUGGUUCUAUAAGCUAUACACUGGUCAUUACUGAUUUUGUCCUUUGGUCUCAGAUGGCCCUGUUAUCACUGAUGUUACCUGAGCCUCUGAGUACAGUGCUCUGAACACAGUAAGCAUACAUUAAACACAACUGAAUGAAUGAAGGAGCCCACCUCUCUCCUAGAAACCAGGAGAAUUCCACUCAUGAUGGAAUGACCCAGAGACCUAAGCUUUUCCACUGACCUCACAAGGGGCUCAUGCCUUGUCCAGUCCUGGGGACUGUGAGAUUGCCAGUGACUGGGGCAUUAAUGAGACUUAAAUGCUGCCCUGCUCAUCUCCUAUCCCUUGUCAAUACCAUUUAAAGAGUCUGCAAAGCAACUGAGGAAAGAUGAGACUGUCAGUGAAGAGAAUCCCGAGGGGCCUGGUAAUCCAGGAAUCCAGGCUGGAUUCAUGUCUGUGUGUGGAACCUGCCUCAGUAUGAUCAUCCAGGACUUCUCCAGUUCCUCACUGGGGCACGUGGGGAAAUUCCCUCCGAGUUCACUAGAAAGCCAACUACUUAUAUCAAGGCUGAGCUUGCUGUCUCUCAGUCAGUGAGAACAGCUGAGGUUUUCUUUGGGAACGACUUUCUUAGUCUUCUCUACUUUUUGGCUCAUUUUAGAGCUCUUGUCUCCCUCCCCCCUCACCCACCUUGUAGCAUUUGGAGGAGCAGGAAAUGACACCAGGGCUUUCUCUGCCCCAGACCAGGACUUUCUGAUCAAGGGCUUCUCUGGUGUCACUCAGGAUUGGGGAGAAUUCUACUCAGUAAUGGGGAGGAGCUAGGAGCCCACCUGUUUUGUCUCUGUCUCCUCACCUCUCCUUCUGCCCAAGUGCACAGGCUCCUAAACUUUCCAUCCCGUUCACCUCCCCUCUACAGAGCCGAGUGAGCAGCAGGUAACCUGCUCAGAGCUGAAUAAGCGAAGUCUUGAUCUGCCAUGGCAGGGCCAAAAAUCACAGGUCACGAAGGGCAGAAGAUCAGCGAGUGAGCAGUCAGUGACCUACACAGAGCUGAAAUGGCAUAAUCGACCUCAACGGUGCAGCCCGUCUGAGAAUGCCCAGAGUAAAAGUACCACAGGCCACCUGCCCCAGCCUCAGUUGCCUGCAUGAAUCUAACAGGUUUAGGUACUUUACCAUCCUUAGCCAAGGGGACCAGCAAGUUGAAUUUGUGUUUUUGAAGAAUCCUCUUGGGGAUGCCUAUUAAGUGCAAUUUCCCCAUAUAAUUACAAUUUUGCUUUUAUUCAGAUAUUCCCAGUAAGGACGGUACUUCCCAAUGUUCUCUUUCUUGACGUGUCUCUGGAAUUUCCAUAUGGGCUUGUUUGGAUUUGUCAUUAGUAUUGUGUCUGUUACUGCUGGCGGUGUUGUUUGAUAUCU